UGCUGAGCUUGCUCAAUCUCAGCAUGUUGUAACUAAAUAUUCAGCUCUUGGUCAGGGUUUGGCGGUGAUGAUAAGGAGCUCGAUCAAUUCAUGUAGGUAUGCUGCUUGCACAUGUUGCUGAAACAGGGUUUUUAACGGGACAACGGUGCAUCCAACACUGUCACCAAUUCCCAAAAUCAGCAACAACAACUUAAGAACUUGCAGGCAGAUGGCUUGUUUAAUCUUUUUGCAGCAACUCCCCUUAACAGGUAACGAAAAAUGAAGUUAAAUGCUAGUUUUCCGUUUCAAAUUCGCAAUAAUAUGGCGCUCUGAUCAUCAUUUUUGUCUCGUUUGAACUUGGUCAGCAUUCUAAGUGCUUCGAGAGAAAUUGAUUAAUCUGCUUAUAUACUAAUUGUAGUUGUAUUUAGUCUAAAGCUGUUAAUUCCAUGUUCCUGAUGAUUUGUGUACAUUGUAGUCCCUCUUGCAAAAUGUUCUUUAGUAAAGACAAUUUGGGUGAAAGACUGCAAGAUUCAUCCAUUGAGUCCAUUAUAUCAUCCAAUACUGAUUUGAAAUCUAAAGAAAACUCUUUUUUUCUUCACAACAACAUAGCUCAUAUCAGGAGUCUUCACAAAUUGAGUUUGAACACAUCAACUCCGCUAUACGGUCAUGCUAGGAAUUAUAUAUUUCUUUUCUUUUUAGAGAACUUCUUUCAAGUAUGAGUUCCCAGAAAAUUUAUUGCCGAUGAAAAACAUUUGUACUAUUUUUCACCUAUUUUGUGUUACUUCUGUGAUAUAGUCAUUUGCAGUAGAUAUAUCAUUUAUCCUAUUGUCGUUCAAAAGGUUCCUCCGAGAAUUCAUAUUCUCUCAAAUGCAAAGCUUGACUCGCCCUUGCGGAAGGUUGCCAAAAGUUUUUCAUUUUGUAGACUCUGGUAAACAUAGAAAAAGACUAACUGCUUAUGUUUUUAAUUUCCAAUCAGGUGCAGCAUUUGAAACUGAAUUUCAAGCGGCAGUUCAAAAAAUAUGGUGACGACGAAAUACCCAUUGGAGAGUUGCUUGAAAAACUGAUGAGAG